GCAGCGGAGCGUGUGGUUUAAUUCGAUGCAACGCGAGAACCUUACCCAGGCUUGACAUGCAGAUGACCGCUCUAGAAAUAGAGUUUCCUUCGGGACAUUUGCACAGGUGCUGCAUGGCUGUCGUCAGCUCGUGCCGUGAGGUGUUGGGUUAAGUCCCGCAACGAGCGCAACCCUUAUCAUUAGUUGCCAACAGGUGAAGCUGGGAACUCUAAUGAGACUGCCUGGGUUAACCAGGAGGAAGGUGAGGAUGACGUCAAGUCCGCAUGGCCCUUAUGUCUGGGGCUACACACGUGCUACAAUGGUCGGUACAGAAGGCAGCGAAACCGCGAGGUGAAGCAAAUCCAACAAAGCCGAUCUCAGUUCAGAUUGUAGUCUGCAACUCGACUACAUGAAGACGGAAUUGCUAGUAAUGGCGAGUCAGCAACAUCGCCGUGAAUACGUUCCCGGGUCUU
rnacentral:rRNA from 1 species